GUGCACUUCCAAGAGACACUAAAUAAAAAAUUUGCUACUCGGGGGUUUUUGGGGUCGCUGAACACGAAUAUCGCCACGGCAACCGUCUCCGAGGUACCUGGUGCCCAGGGUGGACAGUAUCAACGUCUUCUCCUAGAGUUUUGGCGAAAAUUGUGAUCGAAUUUGUGAUUGAAUUAAGAACAAUAUACUUUAA
rnacentral:lncRNA from 1 species